rnacentral:rRNA from 1 species
UACGUAGGGAGCAAGCGUUGUCCGGAUUUAUUGGGCGUAAAGAGCUCGUAGGCGGUUCGUCGCGUCGGCUGUGAAAUCCCGAGGCUCAACCUCGGGUCUGCAGUCGAUACGGGCGGACUGGAGUUCGGCAGGGGAGACUGGAAUUCCUGAUGUAGCGGUGAAAUGCGCAGAUAUCAGGAGGAACACCGGUGGCGAAGGCGGGUCUCUGGGCCGAUACUGACGCUGAGACGCGAAAGCGUGGGGAGCAAACAGG